AGCGAACGCUGGCGGCAGGCCUAACACAUGCAAGUCGAGCGCCCCGCAAGGGGAGCGGCAGACGGGAGAGUAACACGUGGGAACGUACCCUUCAGUUCGGAACAACCCAGGGAAACUUGGGCUAAUACCGAAUACGUCCGUAAGGAGAAAGAUUUAUCGCUGAGGGAUCGGCCCGCGUCUGUUUAGCUAGUUGGUGAGGUAACGGCUCACCAAGGCGACGAUCAGUAGCUGGUCUGAGAGGAUGAUCAGCCUCACUGGGACUGAGACACGGCCCAGACUCCUACGGGAGGCAGCAGUGGGGAAUAUUGGACAAUGGGCGCAAGCCUGAUCCAGCCAUGCCGCGUGGAUGAUGAAGGCCCUAGGGUUGUAAAGUCCUUUCGGCGGGGAAGAUAAUGACGGUACCCGCAGAAGAAGCCCCGGCUAACUACGUGCCAGCCGCCGCCGUAA
rnacentral:rRNA from 1 species